CGUCCUUUCCCAUUCCUAUUUCUCGCAUGUAUAUAGGAAAUGCGCUCUGCGUUCUCGAACCUUCUCGUGACCAACGAAACCCCAUUUUUGUGCCGCGAUUCCAGAGUUCGAAUUCAACCAAGAAGAGAGCCCCAUCGGAGAGCAACAUAAGCUUCCUGAACUCUUCGAUUACUGACAUGGACUCAAUGGCGGAUUUGGGGGUUUCAUCUUUUGCGUUGUUGAUGUUCAUUUGUGUUUUUCUGUUAUGCGUGUUGUCUGUGGAGACGUGUAAGGGGAGGAGAAGGGGUGGCAAUGUUGCAUGGUUUAUGGUGAUGGAUUGAUGGUAGCCGGAGGAGAAAGGAAAGAGGGAGGUGGAGGAGGACGAUGAUGACUCAUCCGAGUUACACGACUUAGUGGCUCACUUGGGUGAGGAAGGGACAAGGGAGAGAAGCAAGGUGCAAACCUUAGUGAGCUUGAUGCGGAAGAGGAAGACGCGACGGAGGAAGAAGGUUUCAGGUGGCGGUGGCAGCAGCAGCGGCAGCGGCUCCUCAUCUCCGCUGGGGAAGGAUAAGCUUAUAUUUAUAGUUCAUAAUGCAUCAUCCUUAUAUUAUUAUAUUGUAUUUGUUAUUUCAAAUUUAAUUUAUUAUAAAUUAUAUAAAUAAUGUACUAUGAAGUUGGAGAUUUUAUCAUUAUUUAACUGAGUGGGAACUGUUGUUUGGUGGAACAGACCUGCCCGCAAUGAUGAAGUGUUUCUCGGUGUCCUUAGCCUCUUUAUGGGUUUUCCUUGCUCUCUUUUCUCUGAGGAAUGGAGCCACCCUGUUCACUGGGAAUUUGAUCAAGCAAGGACCAAUCCACAUGUGCCACGUGCUCAACAAGUGCUGAAGGUUGGAGCCCAAGAACGAAGGGAGCUUGUGUUUGUGCAAGUGCAACAUCGUUCUUGGACAAAGGCUCUGCUCCCAUUUUUUUGCUUCUCACUCUUUUCUUCUCUAAUAAUGUGUGUUGAUGCUAUUGAUAUGUGAAUGUGAUUUUAUGAUUGAUUCUUUCUCAGCCUUUCUGGAUUCUUAUAGCACAUAUCAAUAUUCCAUGUGUAAUGAUCUUAUUCUUACUCGUUAACGCUUUUUCCAUUGUAGACUAAUGAUGAUGAUGAUGUUUAUUUAUUAGGAUUCUCCAUAGCUGAUUUAGUAAUCAUGAUUUAAUUAAUUUGACUUGAUGUUAAAAACUCUUGUUUUGAUUUGUCAUAUAUGUUUUUUUGUUCAAUUUCAUUUUGCCUUCAAUUGGAGGUUUGGUGAACUCUGGAUUACCAUGACUAUUGUCAAGUUAAAUGCAAUCUUUUCAAAAUGAUGUCUUGUGUGACACAGGAAGUGAAGGACAUUUACCAUCUUUUGGAACAUGAGUUUUAUCCCUCAAAUCUUGCAUUAAAAGCACUGCCCUUAAUAACUAAAAUCUCAAAGUUAGGGGGUAAGCUUUCUACUGCAUAAUCUGUUCCAGAGGUGCAAUUAGCUCAGUAUGUUCCAGCACUGGAAAGACUGGCUACCAUGAGGUUGCUGCAGCAGGUGUCUAAUGUGUACCAAUCUAUGAAGAUUGAAACCUUAUCGGGGAUGAUCCCCUUCUUUGAUUUCUCUCAAGUGGAAAAGGUUUCUGUAGAUGCUGUUAAGUAGAAGUUUGUAUCAAUGAGAGUUGACCACAUGAAAAAUGCUGUGAUUUUUUGCAAAAAGAGUCUUGAGUCUGAUGGCUUAAGGGAUCACUUGGCCAAUUUUGCUGAAGAAUUAAAUAAAGCAAGACAGAUGAUUUAUCCUCCUGAUAAGAGAUCAUCAAAACUUGGAGCUUUACUUCCCUCUUUGUCAGAGGUUGUGGCCAAAGAACACAAGAGGCUUCUUGCUUGAAAAUCAAUUAUUGAGAAGAGGAAAGAAGAACAAGAACGACAGCUUCUUGAAAUGCUACUAUUGCAAUAACAAUCAAUGGGCAAGAUUUUGCAACAGUACCGUAGACAAAUUUGGUUGGAGACUGGAGAGGAUCCAAAUUCUAGUUGUAUACAUAUUUGUACAAUUUUGUUAUAAAAAAAUAUCUUUGGAUAAUCUUUUCUGAUAGGAUUUCACUUAAUUAAGUGAUAGGAUUUUCCUUUUU